UCAACUUAGGCCGUGUUUAGUUCCAAAGUUUUUCUUCAAACUUCUAACUUUUCCAUUAUAUCUAAACUUUUCUAUAUAUAAAUUUCUAAUUUUUCCGUAACAUCGUUCUAAAUUCAACCAAAGGUAUGAACUAAACACGGUCUUAAUAUGGAGUCAUAUAAAAGGUUACUCUUUGUACAUCAGACCAAACCAGUAUUGAAAAGUUAAAACUUAGAAGGUCCUGCACAUAAAUACGUGAGUACUAACCUAGGGGUAUUUUCGAAAAUAUUUUAUAUGUAGUGAAGUAUAGGAUAAAAAAUACUAUUAGGGGUGAAAAUGAAUAUUUGCUAGGUGUUAGUGGCACGCAUAAGUUAGCAGGUAGCCUUUGGGAAUCGGGAGCUGUGAGCUGUGAGUGCCUCGUCGUCCACCUCUGCUUUCAAUCCAAGUUCACUCGUCUUCUCUCAUACACCAUGGUUGUGGCUUGUGCUUUCGAGUUUCCACCAUUGAUUUGCACUGAGAAAGAACCGAUGGAUGAGGCCAGCUCUGCAUGCACGAUAGAGGCAGCGGAGGUGGCGGGGAUCGAACGACAGCUGGUUAAAAGGAGGAGCCAGAGUCCCCGCCGUCGCUUGGCAUGCCACCACCAUCUGUCAUCGCCUCCGCCUCUGAUCUCCGGCGACGAGCGGGCUGACGAUGAGGUGAGCCAAGGUGAGGUAGCGGUGGUUGCGAAAGUGGACGAGGAGGCGGUGCGAGCGGCGGAAGCGGUGAGGCGGUGGUGGCGGAAGCGGCAAGGAGGCUAUCGAGGAGACGAUCCGAGCGGUUGAUUUGGCGCAGAGGUGGUGAAGAAGGCCGAUGACAAGUAGGGUGGCGUUGAGCCGAGCCGCUCCCCGUGGAUCUGGCGACGGCGUGGACCACCACCGGUAGGUGGCGAUGGCUGGUGAGCAGGCGCGUAUCGAGGACCCGCGCGGGCUGUCGAGCUCCAGGACCGUCGCGGAGGCACAUGAGCAGCGGAGCCACCACCACCACCUCGUCUUCGCUGGAAGCAAGUGCCGAUGGCACGGAUCAAGGCAGGAUGGGGCCAAGGAGCUCCCGGUGGUAAAUCGACCUCGAGCUCAUCGUCCCUGUCAUUGUCAUCUCCGCGACGGCAUUGUGAUUAGGAGGAUUUUUUUUGGGAAAGGCUAUAUGGCUGUCGCAUGUUUUUGUUGGGCUGUAUCAUUCGUUUUUUUGUCCCUUGGAUUUUGUUUAAGAUUCGUGCUAUCUAGACUAUGUGGGCUUUUGAUUAUUGUAAGUUCGGGCUUCCAUAUGUGGGCUAAAUGGGCUUCUUUUUUUUUUACAUUUUUGUGGGACCCAUUUUGUGUUGCCGACAGAGAGAUUUUUUUGUGAGUGUUAAUGGUGGGACCCACAUACACUAUUUAAAUUUUGAAAUCCGCACCGGAGAGAUUGUCUGAAUCAGACUAGAGAGAGAGUGUGAGAGAUUCAUUUUGCUUUUUGCCUUUUUCCUCGUCGUCUCUUCCGGUGAUUUCGGCGGAGAUUUCGUCGGCGACUCCGGGAGGCGACGACGCGGCGUAAGCUACGCCGCGGCGUGGAUUCGUGCAGGCUACGUCGCGGCGGUGAUUCCACUGGAGUUUGCGGUGUGGGCUUCUCUAUCUUGUCCUCGAGCUCCUUCUCCUCUUUUUCUCCGGUGAGUAUGUUUUGAUUCUUCUCCAGCUUCAUUUGUUAGCUUGCUGCUCGAUUCGUUGUUGUUUUGCUCCGCUAGUUGUGCUCCUUUUGCCGACGGAGAGAGAGAGAGAGUUAUAGAAGGAGAGGUUGACGAUUUCGUCGUCUCGUUCUCAUCGUCUCCGGCGACGUGGCAGCGAUUUAGCGAGGCGACGAGGCUGCUCUUCGGCGAGCCGACUCGGCGUCUGCUGUUGUUGCGGAGGUGUCGCGCCGUCGAUUGCGCAAGAUUAUUCCAGUGGCUUUCCUUUUUGUUUUUUUUUCCUUUUUUGUUCAUUUCCAUCUCCUAUUUAGCAUGCUACAUGUUGUGUUUCGUUGAUUCUGUAGUACUAGUCGUUCUAGUUUUCGUAGAUCUGAGCACCUUUUGUUUCGGUGUUUGUUUCAUUGAAUCCCCAUGAUUCGUGUUCGAUUUUGCUUUUGUGAUUUUUUUUUAGGUUUCUAUGAUAUAUUUGUUCAUAAAUUUGUGCUAUGCGAUGUUCUAGAAAGUUUCGUUUAUGUGAUGUGUGAUGUGUGAUCUGUGAUAUGUGAUAUGUGAUUUACGAAUUGUGCUCUGUGA